rnacentral:rRNA from 1 species
AGUGAACGCUGGCGGUAGGCCUAACACAUGCAAGUCGAACGGCAGCACAGUAAGAGCUUGCUCUUACGGGUGGCGAGUGGCGGACGGGUGAGGAAUACAUCGGAAUCUACUUUUUCUUGGGGGAUAACGUAGGGAAACUUACGCUAAUACCGCAUACGACCUACGGGUGAAAGCAGGGGAUCUUCGGACCUUGCGCGAUUGAAUGAGCCGAUGUCGGAUUAGCUAGUUGGGGGGGUAAAGGCCCACCAAGGCGACGAUCCGUAGCUGGUCUGAGAGGAUGAUCAGCCACACUGGAACUGAGACACGGUCCAGACACCUACGGGAGGCAGCAGUGGGGAAUAUUGGACAAUGGGCGCAAGCCUGAUCCAGCCAUACCGCGUGGGUGAAGAAGGCCUUCGGGUUGUAAAGCCCUUUUGUUGGGAAAGAAAAGCAGCAGGUUAAUACCCCGAUGUUCUGACGGUACCCAAAGAAUAAGCACCGGCUAACUUCGUG